rnacentral:misc_RNA from 1 species
UUUCCGUAGGUGAACCUGCGGAAGGAUCAUUACUAACGUAUCCACGUAUAAACCAAAACCAGUUGAAUUUUGUUCGAAAACAUAUUCGUCCGUUAGGCUGGGAAUGAGUUGAUUUGGAGAUGUUUCUAUCUAUAUGAGAGAAAAUGUACAUCUCUGGUUGACUUCGGGCCUUCACGGGCUUACCCUACCUAGUUCGCGAAUUAAAAUAUAUCAAAAACAUUAAACUCAUAUUUUAACCCAUUUCACCCUAUUCUUUUAAAUGAACUUAACCUGAAUUCAUUAGAAAUAAUGAGUUUGAAAAAAUACGAAAUUAAGAACAACUCUUAACAACGGAUAUCUUGGCUCUC